rnacentral:lncRNA from 1 species
AAAAAGUUUCAUCAGUUCAUAGAGCGGGUAAGGAUUCCUGCCGCCAUGAAAAUUCAGAAAAAUCCGACGGCUCCGGGUAAUCAAACAACCCGCCGACUGUUAAAAAGUCGCCGUUGCUAUUACCUCCGUCAUUAUCUCCUUCCCUGAGGUCAUGCUCCAUGCCAAAAUCGAACGUGUCGUAAUUAGGCAUAUCGUCCUCAAAUCUCGCCAUGUUAACGAAUUCAGCUGCCUCAGGCAUGACGUCAGAUUCGGCAUUAACGUUGUGAUCGUUUACCGGAGAUAUUGUCGGAGGUAGACCGAGCUCAUCGUCGGAAGCUUCGAGAAGGUAACCGAGGUCCGUUUGAGAUUCGCCGGAUUCCGAUGGAUUCAGAUCGAGAACGGUCUGAGAAUCGUCGUGAAGAGGUGAGUGAUGAAGGAUUUCUUCCUCAAAACUCUUCAUGACGGAAUCCAGAUCCUGAAUCUCCGGCGGACAUUCGUUCAGAGCAUCAGGCUCAUCUAAGAUAUCCAAUAUAUCUUCUCUUAUCUGCUUAGCCUCCGGCGAAUCCAGGUACACAUCUUUUCGCACGUCAUCGGAAUCCGAUGAGUUGACUCGGUUCAACUCAGACGAGUCGGGAGCGGUCUUCUCUAGCUCUGAUGAGUUAACUCGCUUGGGCUCAGGCGAGUCAUCAAAUGCGUCCAAUCCUGACUCAACUCGGGUCCGCUUAUUACUGUUAUUAUUAUUCUCAGUUUUCAACUCUUUUUUCAUGUUGAGACAAAAGCCUUAACAACUGAUGUGAAGAGAUUUCUCAAAAUUAUAAAAUCCAAGAAUAGGACAAUAGGUGGGGGCUAGUGGGGUAACUACUCUAGGCACAAAGUCUAGAAAGAUAAAAUGAGCUUUGGAAAAAAAAAGAGGGAAGGGCAAAAGAGAGAUAUUAGCUUUUGGUAGUUGUAAGUCCUUGUUUGGUUAUAGGAAAGAAGAAAGAGAGAGAAGAGGGAAAAAUAUUUUGAAGCAAUGAAGGAGAUAAGGAAGGGGAAGAUAGUUUAUAUAGUGGGAGAGAAAAGGAGGGGGACCAAAGGGUGAGAGGGAUAAGAUUUGGUUGUGUGUGUGAGAGAAGGAAGAGAGAGAAGGGGAGAAACGAGACAAAAGAUGCUGUUUUCAGGUUGAGAUGCAAAGGUGGAGAGAAGUGGAGCUGGCAAUUAUAGUAGUCCCAUCUUAAGUAUUCGUUUGGCCAUAAAACAAAUGUUUAUUUUCUAGGGAUUAUUUUUCUUUUUUAAAUUAAAAAAUUAGUGUUUGGCUUUUAUUUAAGUACACAUAUGUCCAUAUUGAUAGGGUUUACAACACACAGUAUUUUACCAAAGAGCAACAUAUUCAAUAUAUUUAUUUUCAUAAUAAAACCAAAUAUGAAGGAUAAAGUGCAUAAAAUUUAUAUUUCUACGUUAACAGAUACAUAGAGUAGAGAGAUUGUUUUCAAUAAAUUUUUGGCUAAAACUAAAGUAAUUGGUUAGAAAAAAAUUAAUAUAAAAAUAAGAGAUAAUAAAAAAUAACACAAUAAAUACUGACAGAAAAAAGAUUACCACAAAGUAGUGUUAUAAUUAAUUUAUCUGAAACAACAACAUUAUCAAAACUUCAAAACUAAAGACACUACGGAAUCAUUUGAUGGAUAUACAGAAUAAAUAAUUUCAAAAUAAAAUGAAAAAUUAUUUUAUUUCAUAUUUGAUGUGAGGUAUUAAUUAGUAUCGAAAUUCCAUAAAAGUCAUCCUCAUCUUUUCCUAAUAACUUCAUUAAUUUACCUCUUUUAUCCCUAUCAGCACAUUCAUCGUCGCCGUUUUCAAUUUUACUACUUUUGUCCUCUGGGAUACAAGGAACUUUAUAGCACCGCGCUGCAUUUUAUACUGUACGGCUACUCUAUUACAUCAUCAUUAAUUUUUUAUUACUUUCUCCGUUUCAUUUGGUGUGAUCAUUUUUUUUAAUUCAUUUUAAAAAACAUAUCAUACUUUUUUAUUUAAUAAAUAUUUAAAAACAUAAUUACAUCUUUAUCUUUAUUAAACCCACUUAAUUAAAAAUAAAUAGCGACACAUUUUUAAUAAAAGACAACCUGAUAAAUAUUUUUUAUUUUUUUAAUUUUGUGCCCGAUCAAAUAACACAUAAAAUGAGAGGGAGAGGGAGUACUAAAUACUACCCUUCUCUACUAGUAUAUGACUUGUGAAUCACAUAAAUUAUGUAUAUUUCUUUUGUAAAAUAGAAAAAUAUCACACAAACGUAAGAGCAACGAAUCAAUAGGAGUACAAAGGAGAAAAUCGUCUUUCUUUGUUUUCCUCGCAUUAAAAACAGAAUUUAUACUGAUAAUAUAUUCAAUACUGUAUAAUAGCGCAUGGCAGAAAACAGAAAUACAAUUUGUUUGUUCUAGCAACUUUCUUUGCUUCAAUAAUUAAAUGGGCUAAAAUUAAGCUAAUUGUGUGUGAGUAAUUCUACUGUAUUUUUGGCACUUGGCUGGGUAGACAGUUCAAAUGAGCAAAUUAUAUAAGGAUGAUGUAAAAUUUCCAAAUUCUACCAUCUGAAAACACUUGAUUCUAAAGUAUUGAAUUUCAAAUUUAGCUUUCCUAUUUUUAUGCUGUGCUGCUUUCUGGUUUUCAGAUGUACAAACUAACGCUACCAUUCACAUAACCAAAAAAGUUUCAUCAGUUCAUAGAGCGGGUAAGGAUUCCUGCCGCCAUGAAAAUUCAGAAAAAUCCGACGGCUCCGGGUAAUCAAACAACCCGCCGACUGUUAAAAAGUCGCCGUUGCUAUUACCUCCGUCAUUAUCUCCUUCCCUGAGGUCAUGCUCCAUGCCAAAAUCGAACGUGUCGUAAUUAGGCAUAUCGUCCUCAAAUCUCGCCAUGUUAACGAAUUCAGCUGCCUCAGGCAUGACGUCAGAUUCGGCAUUAACGUUGUGAUCGUUUACCGGAGAUAUUGUCGGAGGUAGACCGAGCUCAUCGUCGGAAGCUUCGAGAAGGUAACCGAGGUCCGUUUGAGAUUCGCCGGAUUCCGAUGGAUUCAGAUCGAGAACGGUCUGAGAAUCGUCGUGAAGAGGUGAGUGAUGAAGGAUUUCUUCCUCAAAACUCUUCAUGACGGAAUCCAGAUCCUGAAUCUCCGGCGGACAUUCGUUCAGAGCAUCAGGCUCAUCUAAGAUAUCCAAUAUAUCUUCUCUUAUCUGCUUAGCCUCCGGCGAAUCCAGGUACACAUCUUUUCGCACGUCAUCGGAAUCCGAUGAGUUGACUCGGUUCAACUCAGACGAGUCGGGAGCGGUCUUCUCUAGCUCUGAUGAGUUAACUCGCUUGGGCUCAGGCGAGUCAUCAAAUGCGUCCAAUCCUGACUCAAUUCGGGUCCGCUUAUUACUGUUAUUAUUUUUCUCAGUUUUCAACUCUUUUUUCAUGUUGAGACAAAAGCCUUAACAACUGAUGUGAAGAGAUUUCUCAAAAUUAUAAAAUCCAAGAAUAGGACAAUAGGUGGGGGCUAGUGGGGUAACUACUCUAGGCACAAAGUCUAGAAAGAUAAAAUGAGCUUUGGAAAAAAAAAGAGGGAAGGGCAAAAGAGAGAUAUUUGCUUUUGGUAGUUGUAAGUCCUUGUUUGGUUAUAGGAAAGAAGAAAGAGAGCGAAGAGGGAAAAAUAUUUUGAAGCAAUGAAGGAGAUAAGGAAGGGGAAGAUAGUUUAUAUAGUGGGAGAGAAAAGGAGGGGGACCAAAGGGUGAGAGGGAUAAGAUUUGGUUGUGUGUGUGAGAGAAGGAAGAGAGAGAAGGGGAGAAACGAGACAAAAGAUGCUGUUUUCAGGUUGAGAUGCAAAGGUGGAGAGAA